rnacentral:rRNA from 1 species
GAUCAUGGCUCAGGAUGAACGCUAGCUACAGGCUUAACACAUGCAAGUCGAGGGGCAGCAUGACGAUAGCUUGCUAUUGUUGAUGGCGACCGGCGCACGGGUGAGUAACGCGUAUCCAACCUGCCCUUGUCCAUCGGAUAACCCGUCGAAAGGCGGCCUAACACGAUAUGCAGUUCUCAGCAGGCAUCUAACGAGAACGAGAUGUAAAGGAGAAGGAUGGGGAG